GACGAACGCUGGCGGCGUGCUUAACACAUGCAAGUCGAACGAAGUGGCGAAAGGGUGAGUAACGCGUAAGCAACCUGCCCUUCAGAGGGGGACAACAGUUGGAAACGACUGCUAAUACCGCAUAAUGAAGGAGGGGAUUGCGGCGGAUUAGCUAGUUGGAGGGGUAACGGCCAACCAAGGCGAGGAUCAGUAGGCGGGCUGGGAGGAUGAACGGCCACAUUGGGACUGAGACACGGCCCAGACUCCUACGGGAGGCAGCAGUGGGGAAUCUUCCGCAAUGGACGAAAGUCUGACGGAGCAACGCCGCGGGAGUGAUGACGGCCUUCGGGUUGUAAAGCUCUGUUAAUCGGGACGCGGUACCGGAAUAGAAAGCCACGGCUAACUACGUGCCAGCAGCCGCGGUAAUAC
rnacentral:rRNA from 1 species